CUAAUUUUUCCAUAUUGGGCAGAUGGGCAGGGAAGCUCUAUUUGUAAUGUGAGAAGUACCUAGAUACUUUCCAUGUGUAGGCCUAGUAGGUUGGCAGUUUCUAUCUGCAGCCUGCAGUGUGUGUAUUUGAACUUUGGGGCAUCAAUGGUGGCAAGAACUAAGAAGGUGGCAUCAAUGGGGGCAAGAACCAAGAACUACAAUUUGAAAGAAGAUCCUAUUCCAGAUCAACAUCUGCCAGCCUGGCCACAUUGCUAAAUGAUUCUACGAUUGACAAUGAAGCCCCUGCCAUGAGGAGAGCGCAGGACGGUAUUGCUCUUCACGGCACGGCGCCGCCAUUUGCACGGCCUUAGUACUUCAGUCUUCUCGAUCAACUCUGCAAUAGUAAAUAUUUAACUUGCUUAAGAAGUUCUUGGCGAGACUCGGCUACCACCUUCUGCGCCUCAGCCAGGAACUAAUUGCGAGCUUCUACCGAGAUCUUCAAUCAAAUCUCUCAAAGGACCAUCUCGUGAACCUCUGCCAUACCCAUCGUGCGAAAUGCUUCCAGGACCGACUUUUCGACCUCUGCCAGGACCAUCCUGGGACCUUCUUUCAGGACCGCCACAAGAACCUCUUCAGGACAGUCCCACGAACCUUUUCCAACACAUUGUCAACCUCUGCGUGACCCACUUGUUGGAAACUCUCUUUAAAAAACUCCAAGAAUAACUCCUGACACAAAUAACUCCUAACUUCAAAAGCUAACUCUACUCCAAAAUCGAACUCUUCUUCAGUGUAUCAGCAGGAUCACAGCGUUCAGAAAUCCCAUGCCUCACCACUAAUGUCUUCAGAAAUAUAAGCCUGCCAAAUGAAGACUUCCGAUUGCUAUGUGAAGACUUCUGAAAAUGAGAAGGAAGCUUCAAAUAUGUUCUUGGUUUUAUUGCUCACAAGUUCCCUCUAGUUUCUUCAAACCUGGCCGAUCCCGGGAGUUGGAUAGCGCACGUGAGCAAAGGUGGGUUCACCUUCAUGAAGCCGGAGCUAAUCCAGAAGUUUUAAGAGUGCCUUUAGACAGCACCAUGGUGUUGAAGUGAAGCCGGGACCUGCUGCAAUCGCCCAAUUAAUGAGCGACAUUGAUUAAACCUACAAUAUACCGGUACCUCAUCACACGUCAGAUUUUACUUUCGCGCGCGGUUGAAUUUAGUUUUUACGAAUACGAUGUCUUAAUAAGAAACUACCGCCAAAAAUGAUUUUGGUCCUCUCUUAAAAAAUUUAACAAACUAGUUAAGUUGGUAAAUUGACUCCAAAUUGUGCUUGAGACUCCUUAAACGCGAUCACGCAAGGAACGAAUGUCGUGCUUUCUAAUACUGCUUGUACAUGGAUAUUAUUCUAAUAUGCGUUGGUAACAGAGCAGCAAACAACCAUUUCUGCCUCGAAUAUUGCACUGAUUAUGUGUUCGUUAGUAUUGUUCCGUACUAAGUUAAUCGGUGUUCAUAAUCUUUUAUAAGUUUCAAUCGCAAUAUCUUCUGUAAGCAUCCUUAUUCUAACGCAUCUGCAAUUUGCCUCGCUCAAAUUAUGAGGCAUAUAAGCGAUCAUCUGUGGAGGAUCACGCGUCUUAUUUAUCAGUUAAAUAAAUUGUGCUUCGAAUAGAUUUUGUUAUCUUCAAGAAUUGUGAACGCGUCAUCAAGGAGUUAUAUUAAGUAACCCGGUAAUUAUGUCUCGUUAUACCUUGGUCUUCACGAUACUUCUCCACUGUACGAAACUGUAAAGGAGAACAAAUCAUUGUAAACUAAUUAAUUUGGUUGGUCCCACAAGUUUAUUAAAAUUACUAUUCACUGUACAUGUUGCUAUAUAGGUUUCUUAUCGGAACGCUUCCAUGAAUAGUAUUAAAUCUUGGCAACUUGCAAAAGUAUGGGUUUUUCAUCCACUGGCAUAUACAAAUGAACUUGAUCAACGGCCAAUGUUGUUUCCCAGCUUUUUGGCGCAACUUCUGGAAUGAGUUCUACUUUUACAAGAAAUACAAAUACUUUGUUAUG